rnacentral:rRNA from 1 species
GACGAACGCUGGCGGCGUGCUUAACACAUGCAAGUCGAACGGAAAGGCCCUGCUUUUGUGGGGUUCUCGAUUGGCGAACGGGUGAGUAACACGUGAGUAACCUGCCCUUGACUUUGGGAUAACUUCAGGAAACUGGGGCUAAUACCGGAUAGGAUCUCCUGCUGCAUGGUGUGGGUUGGAAAGUUUCGGCGGUUGGGGAUGGACUCGCGGCUUAUCAGCUUGUUGGUGGGGUAGUGGCUUACCAAGGCUUUGACGGGUAGCCGGCCUGAGAGGGUGACCGGCGACAUGGGGACUGAGAUACGGCCCAGAAUCCUACGGGAGGCAGCAGUGGGGAAUAUUGCACAAUGGGCGGAAGCCUGAUGCAGCAACGCCGCGUGCGGGAUGACGGCCUACGGGUUGUAAACAGAUUUCGACUGUGACGAAGCGUGAGUGACGGUAAUGGGUAAAGAAGCACCGGCUAACUACGUG